UUUAUACUCUUUACGUGUUUGAAUCUUUCAAAAAAUAUUUUCGACAAUCAAUUUUUGAACCAACUACGCAACGACACUUUCUGCAAGUCAGUCGCACAUAGCUUUUGCUGCUGCAUCAAAUCCGGAGGUUCCUUUGAACUUGUUUCAUCUCUAUAUUAAGAGCUUGAGCAGACAUGAAAGAAUGGAUGAAUGUAUCGAAAGCCUCUCAAAAGAUGAAGCUAUAAUUAACGUAAUUACACAUCAAUCUUCUUUGUUUGAUCAGAUUGGCGAGGUCCAGCAAUUACAGGAACAACACUGGAAUGCUGAAAAACAACUUAUUUUGAUUUCUCGACUUAGGUUAUUAAAUAAUUUUCAAAUUUUAGUUAUAAUUUCAAUCUCUAAACUAAAACUAAAAGCAAAGAGCAAAUAGGAAAUUUAGUAUUUUACCAAGAUGUUUUCACAAAUUAACACAAUUGCUUUCCCGAUGUACCUUAAACACUUAAACAUACUUUAGCAAUACAUUUGAAUAUUUACUCA